GACGAACGCUGGCGGCGGGCUUAACACAUGCAAGUCGAACGGAAAGGCCGUGCGUUUUUGGUGUUCUCGAUUGGCGAACGGGUGAGGAACACGUGAGUAACCUGCCCUUGACUUUGGGAUGGCUUCAGGAAACUAGGGCUAAUACCGUAUAGGAUCUCCUGCUGCGGGGUGGGGAGUGGAAAUUUUAGGCGGUUGGGGAUGGACUGGCGGCUUAUCAGCUUGUUGGUUGGGUAGUGGCUGACCAACGCUUUGACGGGUAGCCGGCAUGAGAGCGUGAACGGCGACCAGAGGCCUACGAUACGGAGCAGAGUGCAACGGGAGGCAGUAGUGGCAAAUCUGGCACAGUCAGAGGACGUCUGUGGAAGAAACGCUGCGUGUGGGAAGCCGGCCUUUGGGGAGUGAAAAGCAUCAGCUUGUGACCCCGCGUGAGUGACGGUACUGAGUAAAGAAGCACCGGCUAACUACGUG
rnacentral:rRNA from 1 species